CCUACGGGGGCUGCAGUGGGGAAUAUUGGACAAUGGGCGAAAGCCUGAUCCAGCCAUGCCGCGUGUGUGAAGAAGGCCUUCGGGUUGUAAAGCACUUUCAGUGGGGAAGAAAGCCUUGGGGCUAAUACCCUCGAGGAAGGACAUCACCCACAGAAGAAGCACCGGCUAACUCCGUGCCAGCAGCCGCGGUAAUACGGAGGGUGCGAGCGUUAAUCGGAAUUACUGGGCGUAAAGCGCGCGUAGGCGGUCUGAUAAGCCGGUUGUGAAAGCCCCGGGCUCAACCUGGGAACGGCAUCCGGAACUGUCAGGCUAGAGUGCAGGAGAGGAAGGUAGAAUUCCCGGUGUAGCAGUGAAAUGCGUAGAGAUCGGGAGGAAUACCAGUGGCGAAGGCGGCCUUCUGGACUGACACUGACGCUGAGGUGCGAAAGCGUGGGUAGCAAACAGGAUUAGAUACCCUUGUAGUC
rnacentral:rRNA from 1 species